UGCGGAGGGAUCAUUACACAACAAAAAUAUGAGGGUGUGGUUUGCUGGCAACAGCGUCCGCCCCAAGUAUUUUUCACCCAUGUCUUUUGCGCACUUUUUGUUUCCUGGGCGAGUUCGCUCGCCACCAGGACCCAACCAUAAACCUUUUUUUAUGCAGUUGCAAUCAGCGUCAGUAUAAUAAUUCAAUUUAUUAAAACUUUCAACAACGGAUCUCUUGGUUCUGGCAUCGAUGAAGAACGCAGCGAAAUGCGAUACGUAGUGUGAAUUGCAGAAUUCAGUGAAUCAUCGAAUCUUUGAACGCACAUUGCGCCCUUUGGUAUUCCAAAGGGCAUGCCUGUUCGAGCGUCAUUUGUACCCUCAAGCUUUGCUUGGUGUUGGGCGUCUUUUUGUCUCUCCCCUUGUUGGGGGAGACUCGCCUUAAAACGAUUGGCAGCCGACCUACUGGUUUUCGGAGCGCAGCACAAAUUUGCGCCUUCCAAUCCACGGGGCGGCAUCCAGCAAGCCUUUGUUUUCUAUAACAAAUCCACAUUUUGACCUCGGAUCAGGUAGGGAUACCCGCUGAACUUAAGCAUAUC
rnacentral:rRNA from 1 species